UACGUAGGGGCCUAGCGUUGUCCGGAUUUAUUGGGCGUAAAGAGCUCGUAGGCGGUUCGGUAAGUCAGGUGUGAAAUCUCCACGCUCAACGUGGAGGCGCCACCUGAAACUGCCGUGACUAGAGUCCGGUAGGGGAGUGUGGAAUUCCCGGUGUAGCGGUGAAAUGCGCAGAUAUCAGGAAGAACACCCGUGGCGAAGGCGGCUCUCUGGGACGGUACUGACGCUGAGACGCGAAAGCGUGGGGAGCGAACAGG
rnacentral:rRNA from 1 species